UGUCUGUGCCUAAGUAAUAACUAUGGGAACCGUUUCCCGCCUUUAUUUGAAAAAAACAAAAUAGUCAGUAGUUAGUAAACAGUUUAGAAAAUUAGGCAAAUCACUCCCAAAUUUCAUCCGCUCUCCUUCGAUCGACGAUGCUUCCGAUUCUCAAUCCGCUCCUCUUCUUCCUUUAUCCUUCGACCGUGCUUCUCUUCACACCUUCACGGCUCCUCACACCUUCGCGGCUCCUCACACCUUCACGGCUCCUCACACCUUCGCGACUCCUCACACCUUCGCGGCUCCUAAUUUCAGUGAGUUCCAAUCACGCAAAUAGGAGAGGACGAGGAUUUUAUCGGAGGGUUCUUCCUUCUCCUCCUGCGGUUGAUUUUGCUUCAUCCGACGGUAAGCGUCUCUUUGCUGAAGCAUUGGGAGAUGGAAGCAUGGAAUGUUUUUUUAAGAUAGUUUCUUAUUAUCAAACUCAAUCCGAACCCAGCUACUGUGGACUAACAACUCUCGCUGCCGUUCUCAAUGCCCUUUCGAUUGAUCCGGGUAGAAAAUGGAAAGGGUUGUGGAGAUGGUUUGAUGAGACCAUGAUGGACUGCUGUGACCCUCUAGAAAAGAUCCAAACGGAUGGUAUAACAUUCGACAAGUUUGCUUCGAUGGCUCGCUGUAAUGGUGCCGAGGUGCUAGUUUUCAGGACCAACGAAAGCACAAUUGGUGAAUUCCGUGAGCAGCUUAUAUCAUCUUCAUCCUGUGAAGACCGUCACAUGGUAACCUCGUACCACAGAAGAGUUUUCAAACAGAGUGGAACUGGCCAUUUUUCCCCAAUUGGGGGUUAUCAUGGUGGAAAAGACAUGGUGCUCAUCUUGGAUGUUGCACGUUUCAAAUAUCCCCCUCAUUGGGUUCCACUUAGCCUACUGUGGGAUGCCAUGAAGACAAUUGAUGAUGCAACAGGACUACCUAGAGGGUACAUGAUUUUAUCAAAGCUAACAUGAGAGAAUUUAAAGGGCUGAUUGAACAGUAUAUAGUGGGAUGUGUAUAUCAUAUAUAGUGUGUUUCGAGUAGGGAUGUAUAUAUCUUCCACGGUAUAGGACCGGAUAUGAGUUUUUGUUACUAGCCCGGAUAUGAGUUUUUGUUACUAGCCCGGAUAUGAUUUUUUGUUACUAGACCAGAUAUGAUUUUUUGUUAAUUCAUGAAUCUUGUAUUGCUAUUGAAGCAAUAUGAUAUCUCAAUGAACAUCCACUUAAUUUUCAUAUAUAUGUAUGGCAAUUUAGCAUGUAGAAGUAUGUUGAAUCUACAAGAGUCAACAGCUCAUCACACAACUUUUUGCUUGGGAUUCAUCAUUCAUGCACUAUUAAACCAAAAAUCUUAUUAUAUUAAAAAAAGAGAGAGGAAAAAAAGAAAGAAAUAAGGGGGGGGAGUUGCGGUAGUCGGUAAUGGGAAAAUUGGUUGGACAGUGGCAAAGGGGCAAAGAGCAAGAGGGAGAGGGGGGGGGUCUGCUUGGAAUUUAUGGUUUUGUGGAGAGAUUCAUUGCACAUUCACAAUCCCACCUCAAAUUCAUACUCAUUAUAUGAAUAUUUUGUCACCCACUAUCACUGAGAUAGACAUCUUCCAUCCCUUUUCUUAUUUUUUUUUCCAUUAAUCAAUUCUAUAUUCCAAAUAUAUUUACUCUUUUCAUUCCAUUUCUUCUUCCCACUUCACAAAUUUCUCUUCUUUCUUCUCUUUUUUCCCCUUUUCUCUAUUGGGGUUUUCUGCAAAAUGCUCUUCUUCUUCUUCUUCUUCUUUCUCAUAAUUCUCAUUUGCGUUUUCUUCAACCUCUUGUUUGUGGGAAGCUUCUCUUUUCUCUUCUUCUCCUUCGUUGCUCUGUUGCUGUCCCCAUGCCUGCCCUCGUCAAUUAGGUGGUGAUGAUGAAUAUUACCCUGGGGGUUCCUUUUAUUCGAACCCCAUGGAUUUGGAUGCAUUUCUACCAACUUCCUCUCAUGUCGAUCUGUAUUUUUGUCCUAGUAAGAGAGCUCUAAUCUGUGCGCCGGUUGUGUUUGGAGGAGGAGAAUUUGAGCAGGACUGUACGCCAUCCAUUCAAGCUCUUCCCGAUGAAUGUCUCUUUGAGAUUUUCAGGCAUCCCCACAGUGCUAGAGAGAGGAGCUCUUGUGCCGGUGUCUCGAAACGGUGGCUUAUGCUUUUGAGUACUAUUCGUAAGGCUGAAAUUUGCAAGAGCAGAAGCACAUGUAUCAGUCAGAUGGUUGAGUGCUCAAAUGUUGAGCAGCAGAAUACUGAAUUUGAUGAGAUUUCGGUAGUGAACUGUGAUGAAGAUCAAGAGGAUGAAAGUAAUGGUUUUCUUACAAGAUGUUUGGACGGCAAGAAAGCUACUGAUGUUAGACUUGCUGCUAUUGCAGUAGGAACUAGUGGACGAGGGGGAUUGGGAAACUUUCAAUUUGAGGAAGUAACUCUACUCGUGGAGUUACCAACCUUGGUCUUUCGGCCAUUGCCUACAGUUGCCCUUCUCUUUGGAUGCUUUCUCUGUGGAAUGUACCUGUUGGAACCCAAUCUCCAACACAGAUUUAAGGAAAUGGUAGACUUUCUGGUAGAAGAAUGGGAAGAAGAAGGGCUAUAUUAUUAAGCCGCUCAAUUGAAAGAACAAUCACCUUGUGCAUACACUAUCCUUGUGACUUUUUUCUUUCGUGUUUUGGAGUUCAAUUCCGUGCCUACCACCUUAACUUGGGAUCAAUUCGAUACAAGUUUAACAUACAAAAUGACACCAUUGGUUUGCUAACCUUUUCGAUAUUGCUACUACAUUGGAGAUCUCUAAGGGGAGGGGCCAAUUGUGAACUAACCCAAAAUCAAAGAUCUUCCAAUUGAUCGGCGAGCUAAAUGGUAAGCCCCCUCCGACCAAUAUACUUUAUACAUACAUAUCAAACUUUCUUCAUCAUUAGUUUAAUAUAUGAUGAAGCAUCAACUUUGCAGUGUGUUUGAUGCAAUGUUGUUGAUGAUUGACUUGUUGUAAUUGAUGUAAAAGAAUAGAUAAUAAUUAAUCUCUCUAAAACAAACUCUUCUUUGUUUUGAAUUCCUGAUAAAAUAUCGAGAUUGAUUUUGUGGUGA